ensembl:piRNA 21ur-754 ncRNA
UCAGUCAUGUUAAUCAAGUCA